GACGUAGGGCGCGAGCGUUGUCCGGAUUUAUUGGGCGUAAAGAGCUCGUAGGCGGCUUGUUGCGUCGUCCGUGAAAACUUGUGGCUUAACCACAGGCUGGCGGUCGAUACGGGCAGGCUGGAGUUCGGUAGGGGAGACUGGAAUUCCUGGUGUAGCGGUGAAAUGCGCAGAUAUCGGGAGGAACACCAAUGGCGAAGGCAGCUCGCUGGGACGGUACUGACGCUGAGA
rnacentral:rRNA from 1 species